GGAUUACAGGCUCUCGCCACCACACCCGGGCUGGGAAGUUCAAGAUUGGACAGCUGCAUCUGGUAGCUUCUGGUGAGGGCUUUGUGCUGCAUCAAAACAUGGCAGAGAAAUGGAAGGCGGACCAGGUGCAUGGGGGAAAGGAGGAAAACAUGAGACGCGACCUUGCUUGAUGACAACCCAACUCUAAAGCUCUCAGAUCGUAUGACUUGUGUUUUAGAAAGAUUCCUCUGGCGAGAGGACUGCCCUGAAGCAGGGGAGCUGGACUUUGUCUGCUGGAGUGUGGGAAGUGGCUGCGGCGGGAGUUGGCCACAGCAGAGGCACAAUAUAUUUGUAGUUAACUCAUGCAACUUCCACCUUGCAGGCUCAGCCAAAAAACAAACGGAAAAAAAGAAUGUGAGAAAAAUUAAUUCAUGUAAUUAAAAAACGAUCCAAAAGUA